CAGCAGCCGCGGUAAUACGUAGGGUGCGAGCGUUAAUCGGAAUUACUGGGCGUAAAGCGUGCGCAGGCGGUUGUGUAAGUCAGAUGUGAAAUCCCCGGGCUCAACCUGGGAACUGCAUUUGAGACUGCACGGCUAGAGUGUAGCAGAGGGGGGUAGAAUUCCACGUGUAGCAGUGAAAUGCGUAGAGAUGUGGAGGAAUACCGAUGGCGAAGGCAGCCCCCUGGGUUACUACUGACGCUCAUGCACGAAAGCGUGGGGAGCAAACAGGAUUAGAUACCCUGGUAGUCCACGCCCUAAACGAUGUCAACUAGAUGUUGGGAGGGUUAAACCUCUUAGUGUCGUAGCUAACGCGUGAAGUUGACCGCCUGGGGAGUACGGCCGCAAGAAUGAAACUCAAAGGAAUUGACGG
rnacentral:rRNA from 1 species